AGAGUUUGAUCCUGGCUCAGGAUGAACGCUAGCUACAGGCUUAACACAUGCAAGUCGAGGGGCAGCAUGAACUUAGCUUGCUAAGUUUGAUGGCGACCGGCGCACGGGUGAGUAACACGUAUCCAACCUGCCGAUGACUCGGGGAUAGCCUUUCGAAAGAAAGAUUAAUACCCGAUGGCAUAGUUCUUCCGCAUGGUGGAACUAUUAAAGAAUUUCGGUCAUCGAUGGGGAUGCGUUCCAUUAGGUUGUUGGCGGGGUAACGGCCCACCAAGCCUUCGAUGGAUAGGGGUUCUGAGAGGAAGGUCCCCCACAUUGGAACUGAGACACGGUCCAAACUCCUACGGGAGGCAGCAGUGAGGAAUAUUGGUCAAUGGGCGAGAGCCUGAACCAGCCAAGUAGCGUGAAGGAUGACUGCCCUAUGGGUUGUAAACUUCUUUUAUAAAGGAAUAAAGUCGGGUAUGUAUACCCGUUUGCAUGUACUUUAUGAAUAAGGAUCGGCUAACUCCGUGCCAGCAGCCGCGGUAAUACGGAGGAUCCGAGCGUUAUCCGGAUUUAUUGGGUUUAAAGGGAGCGUAGGCGGACGCUUAAGUCAGUUGUGAAAGUUUGCGGCUCAACCGUAAAAUUGCAGUUGAUACUGGCAGUCUUGAGUGCAGUAGAGGUGGGCGGAAUUCGUGGUGUAGCGGUGAAAUGCUUAGAUAUCACGAAGAACUCCGAUUGCGAAGGCAGCUCACUGGAGUGUAACUGACGCUGAUGCUCGAAAGUGUGGGUAUCAAACAGGAUUAGAUACCCUGGUAGUCCACACAGUAAACGAUGAAUACUCGCUGUUUGCGAUAUACAGUAAGCGGCCAAGCGAAAGCGUUAAGUAUUCCACCUGGGGAGUACGCCGGCAACGGUGAAACUCAAAGGAAUUGACGGGGGCCCGCACAAGCGGAGGAACAUGUGGUUUAA
rnacentral:rRNA from 1 species